rnacentral:misc_RNA from 1 species
CACAAGAAGAAAAAAGCAAAUCUGCCCAUAACACAUCACAUAAAAUCACCCUCAAUCCCAAGCAAGAGAAGUAAAAACUAUCAUUCUACAUGUAGCACUUAGUUGGCACUUUAUAUUUAUCACCCCUUCUAGUUCUUACUGGGAACGAGCAAAGGAGCUGCUCUCCAUAGUCGAAUUACACAUUGCAUUUAAUUUUCUCUAAAUAUACCAAAUAUGUAUGCAUUUUCAGUGUCCGAGAUUAUCUCGAACAUUAUUACCUUUCUACAAAACCUAGAUACCCGAAAACUCUUGAGCACAAAGUUUGUCCCAAGUUAACAUGCUUCACCGUGACUUCUUGUAAAAGCCAUAAGCCACAGCGACAACAGCCACUGCUCCAACCACACCUACAGCUGCGAGUAUUUCACGCUGCUCCCAUUUGCCGAACCAGUUUGAAACUGUUCCCUGCCCUUUCUUGUUCUCUUUCUGCUCAGCACUUGCAUCUCUACAACAAGAAACUCCCGCAGCACCUUGGCAACAGCUGAAACUAGUUACACUACUCUCCUGGCUUUUUCCAUUUUCAAGAGACUUCUUUUCUUCAUUGGUUACUUCAGGAACCUUCUGUUCAUCCACUUUAUCAGUUACCUUCUCAUAUUGUCCCAUUUGGCCCCUCCAAAGUCGUUCAAUGACUUUUCCCUCUCCAAUAUGCUCAUCAAGCAAAGCAGGUACAUCACUUGGCGUAACAUAGCCAUACCAGUGG